CGCUGACUUCAGACCAGAGUCGCUGGUGCUUCUGAGAAGGACAUUGUUCACUCUGGGCUGGCCUACACCAUGGAGAGAUCUGCCAGGCAAAUCAUGCGUACGGCCAGUAAGUACAACCUGGGUCUGGACCUGCGGACGGCUGCGUACGUCAACGCCAUCGAGAAGGU